rnacentral:rRNA from 1 species
AACGAACGCUGGCGGCAGGCUUAACACAUGCAAGUCGAACGCCCGUAGCAAUACGGGAGUGGCGGACGGGUGAGUAACGCGUGGGAACGUGCCCUGAGGUACGGAAUAACUGCGGGAAACUGCAGCUAAUACCGUAUGAGCCCCGCAAGGGGGAAAGAUUUAUCGCCUUAGGAGCGGCCCGCGUCGGAUUAGGUAGUUGGUGGGGUAAAGGCCUACCAAGCCGACGAUCAGUAGCUGGUCUGAGAGGAUGAUCAGCCACACUGGGACUGAGACACGGCCCAGACUCCUACGGGAGGCAGCAGUGGGGAAUAUUGGACAAUGGGCGCAAGCCUGAUCCAGCCAUGCCGCGUGAGUGAUGAAGGCCUUCGGGUUGUAAAGCUCUUUCGCACACGACGAUGAUGACGGUAGUGUGAGAAGAAGCCCCGGCUAACUUCGUGCCAGCCGCCGCCGUAAAAC